rnacentral:rRNA from 1 species
GCAAAGGUAGCAUAAUCACUUGUCUCCUAAAUAGAGACUAGUAUGAACGGUCAAAUGAGGACUUAACUGUCUCUUACAUUCAACCAAUAAAACUGAUCUCUCAGNNAAAAAGCUGAGAUAUAAACAUAAGACGAGAAGACCCUGUGGAGCUUCAAACCUAACUAACCCAAAUGGUUUGGUUUUCAGUUGGGGCGACUUCGGAGUACAAAAAACCCUCCGACAAACUAUAUCAAGACCAACACGNCAACAUAUCUNUGACCCGGUAUAAAACAUCCNACCAAUGAACCANGUNACCCCNGGGAUAACAGCGCCAUCCCCUUCUAGAGU